UAAGCAUAUCAAUAAGCGGAGGAAAAGAAACCAACAGGGAUUGCCUUAGUAACGGCGAGUGAAGCGGCAACAGCUCAAAUUUGAAAUCUGGCUUCGGCCCGAGUUGUAAUUUGCAGAGGAUGUUUAUGGUGCAGUACCUACCGAGUUCCCUGGAACGGGACGCCACAGAGGGUGAGAGCCCCGUCUGGUUGGAUACUAAACCUGUGUUAAACUCCUUCAACGAGUCGAGUAGUUUGGGAAUGCUGCUCUAAAUGGGAGGUAAAUCUCUUCUAAAGCUAAAUACCGGCCAGAGACCGAUAGCGCACAAGUAGAGUGAUCGAAAGAUGAAAAGCACCUUGAAAAGGGGGUUAAACAGUACGUGAAAUUGUUGAAAGGGAAGCGAUUAUGACCAGACUUGUGCCGUGUGGCUCAUCCGAGGUUCUCCCCGGUGCACUCCACACGGCUCAGGCCAACAUCGGUUUUCGUUGGGGGAUAAGAAUAGUAGGAACGUAGCUUUCUUCGGAGAGUGUUAUAGCCUAUUAUACGAUACCCUGACGGGGACCGAGGACCGCGCUUCGGCUAGGAUGUUGGCGUAAUGGUCAUUACCGACCCGUCUUGAAACACGGACCAAGGAGUCGUCCAUUAGAGCGAGCGUUUGGGUGUAAAACCCGCACGCGUAAUGAAAGUGAAAUUAGGUGAGAGCUUCGGCGCAUCAUCGACCGAUCCUGAAGUUUACGGAUGGAUUUGAGUAAGAGUUUUAACGGACGGACCCGAAAGACAGUGAACUAUGCUUGAAUAGGGUGAAGCCAGAGGAAACUCUGGUGGAGGCUCGCAGCGGUUCUGACGUGCAAAUCGAUCGUCAAAUUUGAGCAUGGGGGCGAAAGACUAAUCGAACUGUCUAGUAGCUGGUUACCGCCGAA
rnacentral:rRNA from 1 species